rnacentral:rRNA from 1 species
GAUGAACGCUGGCGGCGUGCUUAACACAUGCAAGUCGAACGGAAAGGCUCCUGCUUGCAGGGGUACUCGAGUGGCGAACGGGUGAGUAACACGUGGGUGAUCUGCCCAGCACUUCGGGAUAAGCCUGGGAAACUGGGUCUAAUACCGGAUAGGACGAUGGUUUGGAUGCCAUUGUGGAAAGUUUUUUCGGUGUGGGAUGAGCUCGCGGCCUAUCAGCUUGUUGGUGGGGUAAUGGCCUACCAAGGCGUCGACGGGUAGCCGGCCUGAGAGGGUGUACGGCCACAUUGGGACUGAGAUACGGGCCAGACUCCUACGGGGGGCAGCAGUGGGGAAUAUUGCACAAUGGGCGCAAGCCUGAUGCAGCGACGCCGCGUGGGGGAUGACGGCCUUCGGGUUGUAAACUCCUUUCGCUAGGGACGAAGCGCAAGUGACGGUACCUGGAGAAGAAGCACCGGCUAACUACGUG